rnacentral:rRNA from 1 species
UACGAAGGGGGGCUAGCGUUGCUCGGAAUCACUGGGCGUAAAGCGCACGUAGGCGGCUUUCUAAGUCAGGGGUGAAAUCCUGGAGCUCAACUCCAGAACUGCCUUUGAUACUGGAGAGCUCGAGUCCGGAAGAGGUGAGUGGAACUGCGAGUGUAGAGGUGAAAUUCGUAGAUAUUCGCAAGAACACCAGUGGCGAAGGCGGCUCACUGGUCCGGUACUGACGCUGAGGUGCGAAAGCGUGGGGAGCAAACAGGG